rnacentral:lncRNA from 1 species
UUUUGAGUUUUGGGACAUAAAAGUACUCUAAUCAUGUUAGAAAGAAGUAUACUGACAAGCGAACAGCCGCGAGCGUAGCGAGCGCGAAAAUUUUUGAGUUUUGGGACUUUGGAUUUUAGAAUGAACGGUAGGCACUGACAAGUGAACAGCCGCGAGCGUAGCGAGCGCGAAUUUUUUAAAAUUGUUUCUUUAAGGACUCUCAAAUUAAACUCGGAAUUAAGCACAAAUAAAAAGAAUCCGUGACUGGAUCGAGAGCCAGUUGUUUUUGUUACGUUGGUGCUCCAAUUUUUUUGUUAAAUUGAGAACUCAAAAAGUAAACGCAGAAUGAAUAAGAAAUAAAUAAAGAAAAAUAUUUUUUU